CAGUCGCCGCGGUAAUACAGAGGGUGCAAGCGUUAAUCGGAAUUACUGGGCGUAAAGCGCGCGUAGGUGGUUUGUUAAGUUGGAUGUGAAAUCACCGGGCUCAACCUGGGAACUGCAUCCAAAACUGGCAAGCUAGAGUAUGGUAGAGGGUGGUGGAAUUUCCUGUGUAGCGGUGAAAUGCGUAGAUAUAGGAAGGAACACCAGUGGCGAAGGCGACCACCUGGACUGAUACUGACACUGAGGUGCGAAAGCGUGGGGAGCAAACAGGAUUAGAUACCCCAGUAGUCCCUGUCUCUUAUAA
rnacentral:rRNA from 1 species